UUUCCGUAGGUGAACCUGCGGAAGGAUCAUUACAAAAUGUUAUGGGAUGUCCUAACGGGCACCCAACAAACACAUCCAUAUUAAACUUUUGAAACAAUUACUAGUCUGAUAAGGCCAUAUGCUGUAAAAAUUUAAAUAUAUUAAAACUUUCAACAACGGAUCUCUUGGCUCUC
rnacentral:misc_RNA from 1 species